GACAGAGGGUGCAAACGUUGUUCGGAAUUACUGGGCGUAAAGCGCGUGUAGGCUGCUUGGCAAGUCGGAUGUGAAAGCCCUGGGCUCAACCCAGGAAGUGCAUUCGAAACUGCUGAGCUGGAGUCCUGGAGAGGAAGGCGGAAUUCUCGGUGUAGAGGUGAAAUUCGUAGAUAUCGAGAGGAACACCGGUGGCGAAGGCGGCCUUCUGGACAGUGACUGACGCUGAGACGCGAAAGCGUGGGGAGCAAACAGG
rnacentral:rRNA from 1 species